GUUUCUUCAGUUUUGUUUGUUGGCAUUAUCGUGCAUUCCUAAAUAACAUCUGUUAAGCAUAUGCUUAUUUGUCUCCGCUUGUCUCUGGAAUUAUUUGCUUUAAUGACUAUACAUGCGCAUGAGACUUUAUUUACUUUCUUAUAGAGGUUUUAUUUAUGUUCUACAAUUAAUAAGCUUUAUCUGUUGUUGCAUAAACCUAUCUAUAAAUGUGAAUUUUGGUUUUUCAAAUUGAAUCUUCUGUUAUCUUGGAAAUGAGCCUUACGGUGAAGUACCGUUUACGUCCUGGUACUCUGAAGGGUGAAUUGUUUAGAGUUCUGCUAGAGCAAGGAAUUCAUGGGUUGAAAAUUUCUGAGUUGGCGAAGUCUCAUUGCAGGUCAUUUGGGUACAUAUAUGUCACGGCAGUUUUCUAGAGGCUCGUAUGUUUGGAGAUAAGGUCAUUGUUACCACCAAGCACAAUGAUGAUGAGCAGUAUAUGUGGGAGCCGCUCUGAUUCAAUGUUUAUGAGGUUCGAUGGAGAAGCAAGGGUCGUGGGGCAUGCCCUUGGUUUUUGUGUUUUUAUU